UUUUCUGCUUUAUGUGCGCAUCCUCUACCUAUUAAGUGUUAAUUAAAAUUAAAGGGUUUCUUUUUAAAAUCUUCUAUAACUAAUAAAAAAUAUGGAAGAUUUUGUUACUUUGAGUAAAUUAGAGUGUUCAAAGCAAACAGAUAUAUAGCAUUUGUGCGUUUGAAUACUACAGCAUGGAAUAACAAAAUUGAACAGGUCAAAACUAUGUUUCUUUUUUUUUAUUUUUGGCUUAGUUACGAUUAAUAGGAGUAGUUUGGGGACAUUUGUAUUCAGAUGUCAGAGGUGAAAUUCUAAGAUUUUCUGGAGACAAACAACUGCGAAGGCAUUUGUCUAAAAUACUUCCAUUAAUCAAGAACGAAAGUUAAGGGAGUGAAGACGAUCAGAUACCGUCGUAAUCUUAACCAUAAACUAUACCGACUAGGUUUUGGAUGAAAGUAAAACAAAUAAGGAUAGUCUCUUCGGGGAUAGUUCUUAGAUUUCUUCCUUCAGUACCUUAUGAGAAAUCAAAGUCUUUGGGUUCUGGGGCGAGUAUUCGCGCAAGCGAGAAAGUUAAAAGAAUUGACGGAAGGGCACCACCAGGCGUGGAGCUUGCGGCUUAAUUUGACUCAACACGGGAAAACUCACUAGUUUAAGACAAGAGUAGGAUUGACAGAUUAAUAGCUCUUUCUUGAUUUCUUGGAUGGUGAUGCAUGGCCGUUUUUAGUUCGUGAAUAUGAUUUGUCUGGUUAAUUCCGAUAACGAACGAGAUCUUAACCUGCUAAUUAGCAGUAAGUACAACAUAUUUCUAUGCUGAAUUUGUAUUUGGAUAAUUUAAAAGGUUUUUUUGCCGUGCAUAUAAUGAGUACGGAAAAAAUGCAUACUGCUACCUUGUACCUAAUAAUACUUGGCGCCUAUGCAUAUUUCCAACCCUCUAUUCCCUGUACCGCAUAAAACUGGAUUAUGAUGCCAUUUCACUUUUAUGUAGAAAUGUAUUUGCUUUUUACAUAAAAGCUUCUUAGAAGGAACGAUGUGUGUUUAACACAAGGAAGUUUAAGG
rnacentral:rRNA from 1 species